UAAUAUGGAGGGUGCAAGCGUUGUUCGGAAUUAUUGGGCGUAAAGCGCGUGUAGGCGGUCUUUUAAGUCUGAUGUGAAAGCCCCGGGCUCAACCUGGGAAGUGCAUUGGAAACUGGGAGGCUUGAGUACGGGAGAGGAGAGUGGAAUUCCUAGUGUAGGAGUGAAAUCCGUAGAUAUUAGGAGGAACACCGGUGGCGAAGGCGGCUCUCUGGACCUGAUACUGACGCUGAGACGCGCAACAGCGUGGGUAGCAAGACAGGAUUAGAUACCCUGGUAGUCCACGCCGUAUACGAUGAGUACUAGGUGUUGCGGGUAUUGACCCCUGCAGUGCCGUAGCUAACGCAUUA
rnacentral:rRNA from 1 species